AUUGAACGCUGGCGGCAUGCUUUACACAUGCAAGUCGGACGGCAGCACAGAGAAGCUUGCUUCUUGGGUGGCGAGUGGCGAACGGGUGAGUAACAUAUCGGAACGUACCGAGCAGUGGGGGAUAACUAAUCGAAAGAUUAGCUAAUACCGCAUAUUUUCUGAGGAAGAAAGCAGGGGACCUUUGGGCCUUGCGCUGUUUGAGCGGCCGAUAUCUGAUUAGCUAGUUGGUGGGGUAAAGGCCUACCAAGGCGACGAUCAGUAGCGGGUCUGAGAGGAUGAUCCGCCACACUGGGACUGAGACACGGCCCAGACUCCUACGGGAGGCAGCAGUGGGGAAUUUUGGACAAUGGGCGCAAGCCUGAUCCAGCCAUGCCGCGUGUCUGAAGAAGGCCUUCGGGCUGUAAAGGACUUUUGUCAGGGAAGAAAAGGGCGGGGUUAAUACCCCUGUCUGAUGACGGUACCUGAAGAAUAAGCACCGGCUAACUACGU
rnacentral:rRNA from 1 species